rnacentral:misc_RNA from 1 species
GAAUGAAGAACGUAGCGAAAUGCGAUAAGUAAUGUGAAUUGCAGAAUUCAGUGAAUCAUCGAAUCUUUGAACGCACAUUGCGCCCCUUGGUAUUCCGAGGGGCAUGCCUGUUCGAGCGUCAUUAUAACCCCUCAAGCUCAGCUUGGUGUUGGGGCCUGCUGCACUGGCAGCCCUUAAAAUCAGUGGCGGCGCCAUCUGGCUCUAAGCGUAGUAAUUCUUCUCGCUAUGGAGUCCUGGUGGAUGCUUGCCAUCAACCCCCAAUUUUUCUAUGGUUGACCUCGGAUCAGGUAGGGAUACCCGCUGAACUUAAGCAUAUCAAUAAGCGGAGGA